GUGUGCCAAGAAAACAUCCCCCACACCAUUACACCACCACCACCAGCCUGCACAGUGGUAACAAGGCAUGAUGGAUCCAUGUUCUCAUUCUGUUUACACCAGAUUCUGACUCUACCAUCUGAAUGUCUCAACAGAAAUCGAGACUCAUCAGACCAGGCAACAUUUUUCCAGUCUUCAACUGUCCAAUUUUGGUGAGCUUGUGCAAAUUGUAGCCUCUUUUUCCUAUUUGUAGUGGAGAUGAGUGGUACCCAGUGGGGUCUUCUGCUGUUGUGUGUGUUGUGGCUUCACAAAUACUUUGCUGCAUACCUCGGUUGUAACGAGUGGUUAUUUCAGUCAAAGUUGCUCUUCUAUCAGCUUGAAUCAGUCGGCCCAUUCUCCUCUGACCUCUAGCAUCAACAAGUCAUUUUCGCCCACAGGACUGCCGCAUACUGGAUGUUUUUCCCUUUUCACACCAUUCUUUGUGAACCCUAGAAAUGGUUGUGUGUGAAAAUCCCAGUAACUGAGCAGAUUGUGAAAUACUCAGACCGGCCCGUCUGGCACCAACAACCAUGCCACGCUCAAAAUUGCUUAAAUCACCUUUCUUUCCCAUUCUGACAUUCAGUUUGGAGUUCAGGAGAUUGUCUUGACCAGGAA